UAGGAUAUGCUUUCUGACAUUUAAGACUGAAAGGUACUAGACGAAUUGCAACACUGACUGCACAUACAAAGUUCUGUAGCCAGAGCACAAGUGUGGAAGGGAUGCUUUUCUACAGUAAUGCUGCAGAUGAAAGCCAGCUCAAAAUAAGAAUGAUUGUUUGCUCCAUUCGACCUUAACUCUGUUUGUCCGUUAAAAAAGGGGUGAUGUCUCACUCAUGCACCAUGAAGAUAGACAAUCACACCUUGGAAUUGUGCAAUUCACCCAGGACCUUGUCCCAACAAUAGACGGGCAAAGCUAUUCUGAAGAUAAUGAAGGAAGAGACAAUAGACUGUCAAGGAAGAGCUGCACUGGCAAUGAUGAAAGCAAGGAAGGUGGUGGAACUACCAUGAAUGAGACAAGAACUAGGAUACUUUGGAAUGAAAGGAAUCAGUGGAUUUAUUCAUUGGAGGAGAGGGGGAAAGAAGAGACAUCAGUGGAAGAUCUGAAUUUUCUGGAAGUUCAAGUCCCAGAGG